rnacentral:tRNA from 1 species
GCCUUCGUGGUGUAACGGUAGAACACCCGGCGCGUAUUCAAGAGUCCAGGUUCGAGUCCCGGCGAGGGCA